UACGUAGGGUCCGAGCGUUGUCCGGAAUUACUGGGCGUAAAGAGCUCGUAGGUGGUUUGUCGCGUUGUUCGUGAAAACUCACAGCUCAACUGUGGGCGUGCGGGCGAUACGGGCAGACUGGAGUACUGCAGGGGAGACUGGAAUUCCUGGUGUAGCGGUGGAAUGCGCAGAUAUCAGGAGGAACACCGGUGGCGAAGGCGGAUCUCUGGGCCGUAACUGACGCUGAGGAGCGAAAGCGUGGGGAGCGAACAGG
rnacentral:rRNA from 1 species